UACGUAGGGGGCAAGCGUUGUCCGGAAUUACUGGGCGUAAAGGGCGCGUAGGCGGUUAAUUAAGUCAGAUGUGAAAGCCCUCGGCUUAACCGGGGGAGUGCAUUUGAAACUGAAUAACUUGAGUGCAGGAGAGGAAAGCGGAAUUCCUAGUGUAGCGGUGAAAUGCGUAGAUAUUAGGAGGAACACCAGUGGCGAAGGCGGCUUUCUGGACUGUAACUGACGCUGAGGCGCGAAAGCGUGGGGAGCAAACAGG
rnacentral:rRNA from 1 species